rnacentral:lncRNA from 10 species
UCGGCUCACUGCAAGCUCCGCCUCCCGGGUUCUCGCCAUUCUCCUGCCUCAGCCUUCCGAGUAGCUGGGACUAUAGGUGCCCGCCACCACGCCAGGCUAAUUUUUUGUAUUUUUAGUAGAGAUGGGGUUUCACCGUGUUAGCCAGGAUGGUCUCGAUCUUCUGACCUCGUGAUCCGCCCGCCUCGGCCUCCCAAAGUGCUAGGAUUACAGGCGUGAGCCACCGCGCCCGGCAGCAAAUUUUAAGCCAAGAAAUUGAAUGUUGCCAGAACCCCAGGAACCACCCAGCCUCUUCCCAUAUGACCACUUCCCCACACUCUCCACCUUCCUUACUUCUAUGAUGCCCCUGGCUUCAGAUAGAAAGGCCCUGAACAUCUACUGGGGUUUUGAGAAGAAUAUCAACACUUUCCUAAGAGAAUUUUCUAUCUGUAUUGAUGGAUGGUUGGGUGACAUGGACUCCAGUAUGUGCCAUGAAGGAUACGAAGAUGAAGCUGUCAUGAACUCUGCUCUCGAGAAGCUACUGUCAAAGUUUGUUUUUUUUAAACUUGAUAUAUUUGAGGUAGAAUUGACAAGAUUUUAGUAUUGAUGAAAUAAGAUAAAAGGGAUGGUGAAAUUAAUGAUGACUUUAGCCAAAAUAAUUAAUUCAGGUGGGGAGGAGAGAAGGGGAUUGACUGAAUUCUAGUUGACUGAGGCUUACUCAUAGUGGGAAGAGCUGUGAGCCAUGUACUGUUUUAUUUAUUGUUUUGUUUUCGGGUUUUGUUUUUCAAUACCAAAAGUGGAUAUUCAUGGAGUCUGAGAAGCUAGGAUUAGAAAUGCAGUAUGUGACAGCAGAAUGGCAAUGUCAUAAACCGUCACUGUGCUAGGUUCUAGAAAUAAAAUAUAGUUGAUCCUUGAACAACACAGAUUUGAAGUGCCUGGGUCCACUUACAUGCAGAUUUUCAUCCACUUCUGCCAUCCCUGAUACAGCAAGAACAACACCUCCUCUUUCUUCUCCUCCUCAGCCUUCUCAAUGUGAACACCACAAGGAUGAAGACCUUUAUAAUGAUCCAUCUCCACUUAAUUAAGAAUAAAUAUUUUUUCUCUUACUCAUGAUUUUAUUAAUGGUAUUUUCUUUUCUCUAGCUUACUUUAUUAUAAAAAUACAGUAUAUAAUACAUAUAGCACACAAAAUAUGUGUUGAUCGACUAUUUAUGUUAUUGAUAAGGCUUCCGGUCAAAAGUAGGCUAAUAGUAGCUACAUUUUUUGGCAAAUCAAAGGCUAAUUACUUGGAUCUGAUCACUAUACAUUAUGUAUAUCACAACAUCACUAUGUGCCCCAUAAAUAUGUACAAUUAUUGUGUUUAUUUAAAAUUUGGAAAAUAAAAAGUUACAAAACAUUUUUUUAAAAUUUAAAAUUUAAAAGUUCUAUGUGGAUUUUUGAGUGCAUGGGUAAGUUGUCACCCCUAACCCCCGUGGUUCCAGGAUCAACUGUAGUGUGUAUUCUUACUGACUCAAAAUUCUUUAUAUUUAUCUGCUUCUCCACCACUCGCCACUUCAAAUGAACAAUUAACUUGUCAAAGAUUAUUUUCCUCAAUACACAACUUCCUAUUUCUCACUCUCCCUCAUCUCCUCUUUCUUUCUUCUUGCCUCUUAUUAAAACCCAAAAGUUGAUAAGAAAGUGGAAUUAAAGAUAGAAUUUGUGUAUAAACAGACUUAACUGUAGUGUUCAUUCUUUUCCAUUUCCUAAAUUGUCCAAUUUCACCAGACAAUGACCUCAAUCUAGCCUAGAAUAAUAAAAACAAUUACCAGCUACUCUAUUGCAUGAAUAAGCCCUAGUUUUACUUUGCAAGCAUCCCAUUAAGUGUUUGCUGGAUUUUUCUAUUUUCCUUCUCUAUGUCAGAGUCAAGGCAAGCAUCACAAGCCAAGUAGCCACCCUGCUAACUGGAAGGUAAAAGAAGAGCCAGGGGAGGGAAACAGACUCAGAGACUAUCAAUUUUCCCUGAACUAGAACAACCUAUUCUUAUCAGAGAAGAUGAGCAUCACUUAACAUUUGACAAACCACUGUCCCCAGAGUGCAUUACCAUGGUAAUCCA